AUGGCCGGCGAGGACGAGGAGUGGAGCGAGGACGAGUUGACCGAGGAGGAGAAGAAGGAUGCGGCGGCCUGGGAUGAGAUGGUGGAUCGGGCUCGGGCUCGGCAGAGGGCCAGGCUUGGCGGCGGUAGACCCAUGAAACGGCUGCAACACGAGGACGUCAUCUACAUCCUGUCGCUGAAGAAGGACGGCAUUGACUACGUCACCGACGACGGCCGCCGGCACACGCCGGAGAAGAUGAAGAGUAUCGUGGACAUCGACAUCAAGGGCGACGACGAGAUCAAUGAGCGGCAGGCCAGGGUGAUGCGGCAGCUGAGUGAGAAGGGCUACGUCCAGGACGACGACUACUACCUGGGCAACGACGACGAGUACCUAGAGGAGGCCGAUGCGUUGAGCAGGGAAAGAGAACGCCGUCUUGCUCGCAUGGGAGUCACCGUCCAAAACGACGACGACGACGAGAACUACUACUCGGAGGAGGAUUACUACUCGGAGCUGGGAGAGGAGGAGGGCGAGAAUCCAGAUGACCAACGGAUAGUACUAGCCGCAGAACAGGGUUGA
rnacentral:rRNA from 1 species